rnacentral:rRNA from 1 species
AACGAACGCUGGCGGCAUGCCUAACACAUGCAAGUCGAACGAGACCUUCGGGUCUAGUGGCGCACGGGUGCGUAACGCGUGGGAACCUGCCCUUAGGUUCGGAAUAACUCCCCGAAAGGGGUGCUAAUACCGGAUAAUGUCUUCGGACCAAAGAUUUAUCUCCUUUGGAUGGGCCCGCGUUGGAUUAGCUAGUUGGUAGGGUAAAAGCCUACCAAGGCGACGAUCCAUAGCUGGUCUGAGAGGAUGAUCAGCCACACUGGGACUGAGACACGGCCCAGACUCCUACGGGAAGAAGCAGUGGGGAAUAUUGGACAAUGGGCGAAAGCAUGAUCCAGCAAUGCCGCGUGAGUGAUGAAGGCCUUAGGGUUGUAAAGCUCUUUUACCAGGGAUGAUAAUGACAGUACCGGGAGAAUAAGCGCCGGCUAACUCCGUG